rnacentral:lncRNA from 1 species
GCACAUCCUGUCCCCCCCUUUUCUCAACUCUUAUCAGCGGGGACAGACAUGGGGACAGCUCAUUGGUGACGAGGGGACGAUGUACGGCAACAUCGAAUCCGGGCAGCCCGGGCAGGGGCAGGAGUGGGGGACAGGACCCUGUGGGGACAAAGCCUGCAGCGAUCUGUACCCCAUGGAGGAGAACCCCUACGAGCCCCUGGACCCCCCCAUCACUGAGCCAAGCCGGAAGCACGCACCCGACCCCCCAGCGUCCCCAGCGCGGCAGAGCUGCCCCCAGGACAGGCUGCUGCUGGUGGGGGCUGUGGCCCUGGGGGUCUCGGUGCUGCUCAACGUGUUCCUCCUCUCCCUCGGGACAAGGCAGAUCGCAGCCCUGACCGCGGCCCUGGAUGAGGCAGAGAAGCUGCAGCCCAACUCCAACACGGGUGCGCGCCA